UUCCUCCCCGGUCGUGGGAGAGGUCCGGCGGGGCACGGGGGAGGGGGAGGAGGGGCCGCGCGGUGAGAACAGCCUGACCCGGCCCGGCCGGCUGCCCGCUGCACCCAGUAGGCGCCUGGGGAGGGCCGGCCGGUGCGAUCAGCCGCGCGAGGGGCUCUGGGCCUCAGUUUCCCCUUCCUCCUUCCCUCGGACGGAGAGGGCUGGCACCUGCUUUAUAGCCGCCUUUUACCGAGCGCCUCUCGAGUGGCUGGCUCUGUCCCGGGUCCUGUUUACCUCCAUUCUAACGUCCAAUCGCGUUAUAAUCAUUAUUAUUUACUGUUAUCAUCAUUAUCACCACCAUUACUGGCCCUGCCAUGGGUGAAGGGGACGGGGUCUGUCCUUCUCGGACUUCAAAGCUUCCCACCGCCCCUGGUACUUUAUUGCUUCUUCGCCCAACAUAUUAAAGGCGCCUUUCAACUCCCAAACGGGUUGAAUCGGCUUUUGUAAUAAUAAUUUGGCUUCUAGGGGAAACCCGGGAGGCCCCCAGAGGGGAAGUGCCAGCCCCAGGACUGAAACCAGCCCCUAGGUCGGUGGUAACGUCACCUCUACUUUUCUGACUUCUGUCUCCACCUGCGAUGUCGGUCCCCCUGUGCGGCAUCGACUGUCAACCCUGAGGUACAGGAUGAUGACGCCGAGACCCGGAGGAGGAGAAGUUGAAUAAUUUCCCAAAGACGCACAGCGAGGCAUUGGGUGGACGUGAAUUCAGGUUGUGUUGGCUAGGCUGCAAAUUUGUAGAUUUUGAGCAGGUAAUUCUUGUCACCAUGAGCGGGGAUAGCUUCUGGGGGAUGCUCUCAGGAGGACGGGGAGCAGGGCCAGAGACCUUCUGUUCACUGUCUUUGAUCUUCUGAAUUCCGUACCACGCGUAUAUUAUUGUUUUAAGUAUUCUCUGCGCCCCGCGUGGGGCUCGAACUCAAAACCCCGAGACCAACAGUCACAUGCUCCACCGACUUAGCCGGCCAGGCGCCCCAAUGCAUACGUUAUUUGCCAUGAAAUUUAAAAUAUCUUUCAAGUAACAUUCCUUAACUUUGGUGCUUCAGAGAACACCAUCAAGGGAGUGAAAGAAACACCCACCGAAGGGGAGACAAAGAAGCUUCGCAAAUCAUAGCUAUGAUAAGGGCCGACUCGUCGGAACCUACAAAGAAAUCCGAAACUCGACGCUAACGGCAAAGUGACCAAAUUGUUUCGACCGGGCGAAGGAUUUUAACAGCCGUUUCUCCAAAAGAGAUACAUAAACGGACCAUAAAGUUCAUGAAAAGUUGCCCAACAUCAUUAGUCAUCAGGGAAAUGCAAAUCAAAACCACGAUGAAACACCACCUCGCCCCUGCUGGGAUGGGGAGAGUGAAAAAGGUCGGUAACAAGUGUCGAUGGGAUUGGGGAGAAGCCGGAACCCCCGCCCCCCUGCCACCAGCACCACGAGUGCUGGGAAUGCACAGCGCCACAGCUGUGGCCCUUCUUCCGGAAGUUAACGGGGGACCCUACGUGUGUAUCCAAGAGAAGUGACAGCAUCUGGCCCACACAGCAACUUGGGCGCGAAAAUCCGCAACAGCGUUACUUGUAACAGCCCCAAAGUCAACACCGUCCAAACGUCCGUCGACUCGCGGAUGCGUAAACACAACGUGUCCGUCUAUACACGCGCACGUCACGCGGGUGUGUCCCCCGCGCACGCGCACAUCCCGCGGCCGCGAGCAGGAGCGAGGCGCCCGCCCCCGCCGCCCCGCGGACGGUCCCCGAGCACACGACGCUCGGGGAGGGGACCCGACACGAGAGGCCACGCGGGGUGGGAGUCCGCGGGUGUGAAACGUCCAGAACGGGCUCAUCCACGGACGGGAAGGGGGCUCGUGGGGGCCGGGGAGGGACAGUGACUGCCAAGGGGGAACGGGGUUUCCUUUAGGGGUGAUGAAAAUGUUCUAAGAUUAGAUUGAAAACCACUGACUUCUAUACUCUAAAGAGUGAAUAUUGGGGUACGUGGAUUGUGGACUUUUUUUAAAUUUAUUUAUUUAUUUA